UACGUAGGGUGCGAGCGUUAAUCGGGAUUACUGGGCGUAAAGCGUGCGCAGGCGGUUUUGUAAGCCAGAUGUGAAAUCCCCGGGCUUAACCUGGGAAUGGCAUUUGGGACUGCAAGGCUGGAGUGCGGCAGAGGAGACUGGAAUUCCUGGUGUAGCAGUGAAAUGCGUAGAUAUCAGGAGGAAUACCGAUGGCGAAGGCAGGUCUCUGGGCUGACACUGACGCUCAUGCACGAAAGCGUGGGGAGCAAACAGG
rnacentral:rRNA from 1 species